AAUGUAAAAUAAUGAAAAAAAUUUCUCGAACUUAAAUUUUGUGAACCAGGGGGGGGGUGUCUUUUGCAACAAACUAAAAAUGGCUCGCGCACAAAAUUUAAAAGCUGCAAUCAUAUUUUGAGUUAACAGAUGGAACAUUUGUCGGGAUUUUAAUUACUGUACAAAAUUUCAGACAAUUUGGUUUAGUUUAAGUUCCUUAACUAUUCACGCAAAGUUACAAUUUUCCCGAAAAAUCAGCUAUUUGCAUGCUUAAUUAAUGCAUUUGCCUAAUUUGCAUAUGUCAGCAAUAUGCAAAUUAGGUAAAGGCAUUAAUUAAGCAUGCGAAAGGGUGACUUUUUAGAACAAAAUGAAUAGUCAAAGGGCUUAAACUUAACCAAAUUGUCUGAAAUUUUGUACAGUAAUUAAAAACCCGACAAAUUUUCAAUCUAUUAACUCAAAAUAUGAUUACAGCUUUUACAUUUUGUGCGCGAGCCAUUUUUAGUUUGUUGGAAAAGACACACCCCCCUGGUUCACAAAAUUUGAGAUCGAGAAUUUUUUUUCAUUAUUUGACAUUAUAAGUACCCAAAGAAGCUAUGCAUAUAAAAACCCGGAUACAAAUAGGUGUUUUGCGAAAUUGAGAGCAAUUUCAAAUCUGUUCAGUUUUUUUUGAUACACCC